rnacentral:lncRNA from 1 species
UUCAGCUAGGCGGCAACAAGGUUCUCAUAGCACACCGGGCUGGCGCGGAAGGGAGCCAAUGGUCCGGCUUAGACACCUGCCUCUGCUCCUGCCCAACGCCCUGAGACACCAGACAAAGUCUCACUGUCGCCCAGGCUGGAGUGCAGUGGGGCGAUCUCAGCUCACAGCAACCUCCGCCUCCAAGGUUCAAGUGAUUCUCCUGCCUUAGCCUCUCAAAUAGCUGGGAUUACAGGUUCUGUAAUCCAAGAUGUCUGUAAAGAGCUGGGAUAUCACUAGGAAAUCAUCUUCAUCCAGACUUAUUCCUGAGUGGAAGAACUUGAAGUUCCUCAUAAAUAAGAUCCUGAAGGACAUAAAGAAUGAUGAAGAACCAAAGAAUGAUGUGGUUCUACUGAGUGACUGGCCUGAGACUCUAUACCGGGAGUCUCACCAUCCACAGAACAAGCCUUUUGUCUGCUUCUACUACUCCAUCAAGGUCAACUGUUUUGUCUCCUUAAACUGGAUG